CACCGCGGUUAUACGAGGGACCCAAGCUGACAGAUAUCGGCGUAAAGAGUGGUUACGGAAAAUUAUUACUAAAGUUAAACACCCCUUAAGCUGUUAUACGCAUAGAGAGGCAGGAUACCCAACCACGAAAGUGACUUUAAUAUGCCCGAACCCACCUAAGCUAUGAAA
rnacentral:rRNA from 1 species